GGAUGUAAAGGCGACCUGGCUGAGACAUCUCUUACCCCAUUGAUUACCAGGGUUGAUUUGGGUCAUCUGGUUACUAGGGGGGUGUCCCCUUUCUCCCUCACCAUUCCAUGUGAGUCCCUCCCUAUGUGUGUGCUCCGUUAAAGACGGAUCUUCGACCAGGGGUAUACAAAUAGCUGCGCUCCCUUCCUAGAACCUCCAAACAAGUUCUCAAAGUUCUGCUAGAUUCUGACCUAGUUACCUUGGGUGUCUUGGGUGCUGAGUCAGGCUUUCCAGAAGAAGUGGUGUUUCUGCAGAAAUCU
rnacentral:snRNA from 1 species